GAUGAACGCUAGCUACAGGCUUAACACAUGCAAGUCGAGGGGCAGCGGGAUUGAAGCUUGCUUCAAUUGCCGGCGACCGGCGCACGGGUGAGUAACGCGUAUCCAACCUUCCGUACACUCAGGGAUAGCCUUUCGAAAGAAAGAUUAAUACCUGAUGGUAUGAUGAGAUCGCAUGGUAUCAUCAUUAAAGAUUUAUCGGUGUACGAUGGGGAUGCGUUCCAUUAGGUAGUAGGCGGGGUAACGGCCCACCUAGCCUACGAUGGAUAGGGGUUCUGAGAGGAAGGUCCCCCACAUUGGAACUGAGACACGGUCCAAACUCCUACGGGAGGCAGCAGUGAGGAAUAUUGGUCAAUGGACGAGAGUCUGAACCAGCCAAGUAGCGUGAAGGAUGAAGGUCCUACGGAUUGUAAACUUCUUUUAAUAAGGGAAUAAAACCUCCCACGUGUGGGAGCUUGUAUGUACCUUAUGAAUAAGCAUCGGC
rnacentral:rRNA from 1 species